rnacentral:rRNA from 1 species
CUGCACUUGACUGUGUGGAGCGGUAUCCAGGACUUUUACUUUGAGGAAAUUAGAGUGUUUCAAGCAGGCGCACGCCUUGAAUACAUUAGCAUGGAAUAAUAAGAUAGGACCUCGGUUCUAUUUUGUUGGUUUCUAGAGCUGAGGUAAUGAUUAAUAGGGAUAGUUGGGGGCAUUCGUAUUUAACUGUCAGAGGUGAAAUUCUUGGAUUUGUUAAAGACAAACUAAUGCGAAUGCAUUUGCCAAGGAUGUCUUCUUUAAUCAAGAACGAAAGUUAGGGGAUCGAAGACGAUUAGAUACCGUCCUAGUCUUAACCAUAAACUAUGCUACCAAGAAAUUGGAGGCGGUUGCCUGUUGAUUCCUUCGGCAUUUUUUGAGAAAUCAAAGUCUUUGAGUUCCAGGGGGAGUAUGGUCGCAAGACUGAAACUUAAAGGAAUUGACGGAAGGGCACCACCAGGAGUGGAGCCUGCGGCUUAAUUUGACUCAACACGGGGAAACUCACCAGGUCCAGACAUAGUAAGGAUUGACAGAUUGAUAGCUCUUUCUUGAUUCUGUGGGUGGUGGUGCAUGGCCGUUCUUA